rnacentral:miRNA from 1 species
AUUAAGGGUGCGGGUGCGGCU